AAGGUGAGCCCUAGAGUACUAAAUCCCUCUCCUAAAUCCUAAUCGCUGCUCCUGCCUCCUGCUCACGAGUCACGCACGCGAACUCAUCUCUCUCUCUCUCUUGCCGCCGCUGCCGUCGCCGUCGCCGUCGCCCGCAACAUCCAAGCAGCUGCCGUCGUCGUCCGCAGCACUAGAGCAGAGCGCCCUCCAGCCGCACCAGCAGCUGCCGCACGACAAGCUCCCUCUCCCUCUCUGUCUCUCCGAGAAAUCGCGACCUAAUUCAUAAUCACAACAACCGCCUUCCGUCUCUUUCUGCGCUGCCCGCGGCUGUCUAUCUCGUUGAAGCUAUCUGUGCGGCGUGGAGUGUUGCAGUCUUACAGCCUUUUGCUUCUUAUUUUGUAUAAGAACAAUAUCCGCAAAUCAUGUCGCGAGUUUGUGUGAAAAACUUGCCCAAGUAUGUAGUGGAGGACCAUCUGAGAGAAUUCUUCUCCCAGAAAGGGGAAGUGACAGAUGCCAAGCUUAUGCGCACCAAGGAUGGGAAGAGUCGGCAAUUUGGGUUUGUGGGUUAUAGGACGGAGCAUGAAGCUGAGGAAGCCAUUAAGUAUUUCAACAAAUCUUUCAUGCAUACUUCCAGAAUUAU